GGCCGUCUAGUUCAGUUGGUUAGAGCGUCGUGCUAAUAUCAUAUACAUGAUCGCCCUAUAUAUUACGCGAAGGUCUUGGGUUCGACCCCCACGAUGGCCA